UGGGAGGAGCGGGUUUUGGGCUGAGUGUGGCCAUGCGGGGGGCUCUGGGGGUGCACAAUGGGGCACCUCCUGUGCUGCAGUGCAGAUUGCGAGCAGGUGCAAAGGGCACUUGGCUCAUGGGGCCACUCUGUGUGCAUAGAUGGGGAGAUGAGUUUCUCUCUCUUCCCCCCCCCCCCCCCCUUUUCUUUUUUUAAUAACACGCACUUCUGUUUCCAUUCAGAGGUUUUAUGGGGAUUUGCUCUGCCUCCUAGGCAAGGCCUGAAUUUGCAGUUUGCUUUGGGACGCAGCUCCAGGGGACACUGCACUUGGCUUCUGAUGAGCAGCCUGGAGAUAAGGGUGUCCCUAUGGCUGAGGCAAGGAGAGGAGGAGGAGGGAUCGGGGCACUGGAGAGAAGCAGGUGGAGAGCAGCACAGGGGCAGCAGGGGGAUUUCUCUGCUGACAUUGGGACUGAUGGCUGCAAGUUGUCACUGUCUGCACCCGAUGCUAAUCUGCUUGUGUGCUGGGAGAGCAGAGCAGAGCUCUCCCCAUCUCACAGGUCUGUGUCACAGCAGGAAGAUCCCAUGCCCAGGGUGAGAUGGGAGGAAAAGUAAAUAGGAGAAAAACAGACAGACAAAAGGACCCAAACGUGGGCAGUGUUGGAGGGGGAGUGCUCCUGCAGAGGGCAGGAAGCAGGCAGCUUGGCCCAGCCAAAACGCUUUUAAAGCCUCGCUUUUAUAUGGCACUUGUUCUUCAAAGACAUCAGGGCUUGUAAAAAAAAAAAAAAAAAAAAAAAAAAAAACCUCUUCCAUUUACCUCUGCCUCUGCCAUGUUAAUGGUUGUGUUUUUGAAUCAUUAAAUAUUGAAAUGUGUAACACUUCCCACGGCUGCCGAAGCUCUCUGCAGCCCGGCUCCCCCGUCCACUCUCCUCCAUCACCUCUGGUUUCUCCCUGUGCUCUCUUCUCUCCAUCCACCUCUUCCUUCUUCCCUCCCUCCUUUUCUUCUGCCCCUCUCUGCAGGUUACCCCAGCCCCUCUCCCCAGGAUCCCUCUGCUGGACUUCCCAUUCAUGGGCCGCACUUGGUAAUCU
rnacentral:lncRNA from 1 species